CCGCCUGCAGGCACGGCCCCUGCUCUCCCCACUUUAGUUUCGGUUCGUCGCUCGGCGCCGCGGCCCGCGCAGCCGCCGGGCGGGCAGCUUGGCUUGCUGCUCUGCCCAGCCCCGCGCCUUCGGGCCGCCAGCCGGCCUCCCGCUCCCACGGUGCCUUCCCGCCGCCACGUCGCUCCGUUCCCGCUGUUUAAAACGAAACCGAUCAGCCCGCCGCAGGCGGCUGCGUGCAAGCACCGCCCCCGAGCGGAGAGAGGGCGGAACCCGGCCGGCGGGGCGGGGGACACUCGAAAACGAAACAGCACGAACGCCAUGGAGCCCCUCGGCAGCGGCCGCCGGCUCCGCUCGCACUGACGGGGUCUGGGUUUCCUGAAACGCAGGAGGGGGCGAGACUGAUUAGAGAAAGUCAGCGAAACCCAGAGGAGCAACGUCACCUGCUGAUGAGUCAUUAGAGGAACAUAAUCAGCCUUUUGCUACCAGUCCGGCAGGACGACCGGCUCUUGAUGCAGAACUGCUUAGCAAAGGGAACAAAUGAGAACUUACAAAAUACUUCCUCUCUUGUGAAAAACAUCUUUUUCAAGAGUUGACAGCCCUCUGGAUUACAGACUGAGGACUGGAUGCUCAUUAAGACAGACAAAUAGGAGAAAAAAGGGACAGCAGACCUCUGCAAAGGCUUACCCCAGUCCUGAGACUUCUGUCCAAGGAGGGAAACAAACUAAAGUUUGAUUGUAUCCAUAUAGAUUCUUAAAGAUUUACAGAACCCUUUGUGGAAUAAUUACUAAAUUGGCUAAAAAUACAAAAGUACAGCAUUGUUCACACAUUAAGGAAAAGUAUAAAAUCAAGAAGCUUCUGAGGUAGAAAACAGCCGCAGCUGGCAUGAAGAAUACAACACCUGUGGUUCCCUGAUAAGGAUGCUUGUGAAGCUAGAUGAGGUACGGGACAGGAUGCAAUUAUUCUGUGGCUUUAUCUUAUGAUGUAUAGCAGAUACGGGAAUGGGAUGAUACCAUGAAACAGAUAAGCUGCCAAUUAGCUGCCUGCUCGAUACUCGGAGCAAACAUUUUGUCAAAUUUUGAUGAAAUGCUGUCCUUUGUGCGAACUUUGCUCAUUAUAAUGUCAUUAUAAUACCAAAACACACCUCCAUCCCAAAGGCUACCCGCCAUCAAGAUGCGACCACUCCUCCUUGAGUCUGUGCCCUGAAUUUCUCGUAAACUAUACCUUUAAUUGUGAAGCAAGAGAAUUUUACACCAAUCAUAAUAAAACUACGUAUGACUAAAGUCACUCAAACUCCACCUUGAAGAUAACAAGUAGUACAAAGAUAGCCCAAGAGAGCGGGGAUAUGCAGGGAAGACACCACCACGAAGAAUUCCAUCACUGACUUCCGGGAUCAGUCGACGGGCUGAGCCUUUCUUCCCCCUCAUGGGGACGCCUUUGGGUAAGACUUAGAUUAUACCGAGUGCUUUCUCGGGAAACUUAGAAAUUUCUCUAGAGAAUCUCUUUCCUACAUUUAUAGCCAGGCUGUGUCGUUUAUAACUUUGUCGCGCAUUUUGUAUAUGUAACAAUACUUUCAUUUGCACGUGCUUUGCAGACAAUGUAUUUAUUGCCAGCAAUCCUAAGAAC